rnacentral:rRNA from 1 species
CCCUGCUAUCGGAUGGGACUAAGACCUGCUAGUCGUGCGCCUCCAAGCCAUGGUGGAGGCGCGGCGCACAGCUCAGUAACACGUGGCUAACCUACCCUUGGGACGGAAACAACCCCGGGAAACUGGGGCUAAUUUCCGAUAGGUGAAGACUCCUGGAACGGAUCUUCGCCCAAAGGGCGCUUAGACCAUGCUUCUAAGCGUUGCCCAAGGAUGGGGCCGCGGCCGAUCAGGUAGUUGGUGAGGUAACGGCUCACCAAGCCUAUAACUGGUACGGGCCGUGAGAGCGGGAGCCCGGAGAUGGGCACUGAGACAAGGGCCCAGGCCCUACGGGGCGUAGCAGUCGCGAAAACUCCGCAAUACGCGAAAGCGUGACGGGGCCAUCCCGAGUGCCGUCCGCUGAGGAUGGCUUUUCCCCAGUGUAGAUAGCUGGGAGAAUAAGGGGAGGGUAAGUCGGGUGUCAGCCGCCGCGGUAAUACCCGCUCCCCGAGUGGUGGGGGCUUUUACUGAGCUUAAAGCGCCCGUAGCCGGUCAUAUGUGUCUCCAGUUAAAUCCAGCAGCCUAACUGCUGGGCCGCUGGAGAUACUAUAUGACUUGGAGGCGGGAGAGGCUACCGGUAGUCUUGGGGUAGGAGUGAAAUCCACUGAUCCCAGGAGGACCUGCAGUGGCGAAGGCGGGUAGCCAGAACGCGCUCGACGGUGAGGGGCGAAAGCUGGGGGAGCGAACCGGAUUAGAUACCCGGGUAGUCCCAGCCGUAAACGAUGCGGGCUAGGUGUCGGUGCGGGUACGGCCUGCACCGGGUGCCGCAGGGAAACCAUUAAGCCCGCCGCUUGGGGGAGUACGGUCCGCAAGACUGAAACUUAAAGGAAUUGGCCGGGGGAGCACCACAAGGGGU